rnacentral:rRNA from 1 species
UACGUAGGGUGCAAGCGUUGUCCGGAAUUAUUGGGCGUAAAGAGCUCGUAGGCGGUUUGUCGCGUCUGCUGUGAAAACCCGAGGCUCAACCUCGGGCCUGCAGUGGGUACGGGCAGACUAGAGUGCGGUAGGGGAGAUUGGAAUUCCUGGUGUAGCGGUGGAAUGCGCAGAUAUCAGGAGGAACACCAAUGGCGAAGGCAGGUCUCUGGGCCGAUACUGACGCUGAGGAGCGAAAGCGUGGGGAGCGAACAGG